rnacentral:tRNA from 1 species
UCCCUGGUAGUCCAGUGGUGAAGACUCUGUGCUUCCAGUGCAGGGGGCCUGGGUUUGAUUCCUGGGUGGGGAA